UGAUGAUGAUGCAGAGGUUCUACUCCCUAAAA
rnacentral:piRNA from 2 species